UGGCUUAGUGGUAAAGUGCUUGCCUUGCAUGCAUGAGGUUUGGGUUCGAAUCCUUA
rnacentral:tRNA from 1 species